GGUUAAGCGACUAAGCGUACACGGUGGAUGCCCUGGCAGUCAGAGGCGAUGAAGGACGUGCUAAUCUGCGAAAAGCGUCGGUAAGGUGAUAUGAACCGUUACAGCCGGCGAUGUCCGAAUGGGGAAACCCAGUGUGAUUCGUCACACUAUCGUUAACUGAAUACAUAGGUUAACGAGGCGAACCGGGGGAACUGAAACAUCUAAGUACCCCGAGGAAAAGAAAUCAACCGAGAUUCCCCCAGUAGCGGCGAGCGAACGGGGAGCAGCCCAGAGUCUGAAUCAGCUUGUGUGUUAGUGGAACGGUCUGGAAAGUCCGACGGUACAGGGUGAUAGUCCCGUACACCAAAAUGCACAGGCUGUGAACUCGAAGAGUAGGGCGGGACACGUGGUAUCCUGUCUGAAUAUGGGGGACCAUCCUCCAAGGCUAAAUACUCCUGACUGACCGAUAGUGAACCAGUACCGUGAGGGAAAGGCGAAAAGAACCCCGGCGAGGGGAGUGAAAAAGAACCUGAAACCGUGUACGUACAAGCAGUGGGAGCACCUUCGGGUGUGACUGCGUACCUUUUGUAUAAUGGGUCAGCGACUUAUAUUCUGUAGCAAGGUUAACCGUAUAGGGGAGCCGCAGGGAAACCGAGUCUUAACUGGGCGUUAAGUUGCAGGGUAUAGACCCGAAACCCGGUGAUCUAGCCAUGGGCAGGUUGAAGGUUGGGUAACACUAACUGGAGGGCCGAACCGACUAAUGUUGAAAAAUUAGCGGAUGACUUGUGGCUGGGGGUGAAAGGCCAAUCAAACCGGGAGAUAGCUGGUUCUCCCCGAAAGCUAUUUAGGUAGCGCCUCGUGAAUUCAUCUUCGGGGGUAGAGCACUGUUUCGGCUAGGGGGUCAUCCCGACUUACCAACCCGAUGCAAACUACGAAUACCGAAGAAUGUUAUCACGGGAGACACACGGCGGGUGCUAACGUCCGUCGUGAAGAGGGAAACAACCCAGACCGCCAGCUAAGGUCCCAAAGUCAUGGUUAAGUGGGAAACGAUGUGGGAAGGCACAGACAGCCAGGAUGUUGGCUUAGAAGCAGCCAUCAUUUAAAGAAAGCGUAAUAGCUCACUGGUCGAGUCGGCCUGCGCGGAAGAUGUAACGGGGCUAAACCAUGCACCGAAGCUGCGGCAGCGACACUAUGUGUUGUUGGGUAGGGGAGCGUUCUGUAAGCCUGCGAAGGUGACCUGUGAGGGUUGCUGGAGGUAUCAGAAGUGCGAAUGCUGACAUAAGUAACGAUAAAGCGGGUGAAAAGCCCGCUCGCCGGAAGACCAAGGGUUCCUGUCCAACGUUAAUCGGGGCAGGGUGAGUCGACCCCUAAGGCGAGGCCGAAAGGCGUAGUCGAUGGGAAACAGGUUAAUAUUCCUGUACUUGGUGUUACUGCGAAGGGGGGACGGAGAAGGCUAUGUUAGCCGGGCGACGGUUGUCCCGGUUUAAGCAUGUAGGCUGGUUGUCCAGGCAAAUCCGGAUAAUCAAGGCUGAGGUGUGAUGACGAGGCACUACGGUGCUGAAGUAACAAAUGCCCUGCUUCCAGGAAAAGCCUCUAAGCAUCAGGUAACAUCAAAUCGUACCCCAAACCGACACAGGUGGUCAGGUAGAGAAUACCAAGGCGCUUGAGAGAACUCGGGUGAAGGAACUAGGCAAAAUGGUGCCGUAACUUCGGGAGAAGGCACGCUGGUGUGUAGGUGAAGUCCCUGCGGAUGGAGCUGAGACCAGUCGAAGAUACCAGCUGGCUGCAACUGUUUAUUAAAAACACAGCACUGUGCAAACACGAAAGUGGACGUAUACGGUGUGACGCCUGCCCGGUGCCGGAAGGUUAAUUGAUGGGGUUAUCCGUAAGGAGAAGCUCUUGAUCGAAGCCCCGGUAAACGGCGGCCGUAACUAUAACGGUCCUAAGGUAGCGAAAUUCCUUGUCGGGUAAGUUCCGACCUGCACGAAUGGCGUAAUGAUGGCCAGGCUGUCUCCACCCGAGACUCAGUGAAAUUGAACUCGCUGUGAAGAUGCAGUGUACCCGCGGCAAGACGGAAAGACCCCGUGAACCUUUACUAUAGCUUGACACUGAACAUUGAGCCUUGAUGUGUAGGAUAGGUGGGAGGCUUUGAAGCGUGGACGCCAGUCUGCGUGGAGCCAACCUUGAAAUACCACCCUUUAAUGUUUGAUGUUCUAACGUUGGCCCCUUAUCGGGGUUGCGGACAGUGUCUGGUGGGUAGUUUGACUGGGGCGGUCUCCUCCCAAAGCGUAACGGAGGAGCACGAAGGUUAGCUAAUCCUGGUCGGACAUCAGGAGGUUAGUGCAAUGGCAUAAGCUAGCUUGACUGCGAGCGUGACGGCGCGAGCAGGUGCGAAAGCAGGUCAUAGUGAUCCGGUGGUUCUGAAUGGAAGGGCCAUCGCUCAACGGAUAAAAGGUACUCCGGGGAUAACAGGCUGAUACCGCCCAAGAGUUCAUAUCGACGGCGGUGUUUGGCACCUCGAUGUCGGCUCAUCACAUCCUGGGGCUGAAGUAGGUCCCAAGGGUAUGGCUGUUCGCCAUUUAAAGUGGUACGCGAGCUGGGUUUAGAACGUCGUGAGACAGUUCGGUCCCUAUCUGCCGUGGGCGCUGGAGAAUUGAGGGGGCUGCUCCUAGUACGAGAGGACCGGAGUGGACGCAUCACUGGUGUUCGGGUUGUCAUGCCAAUGGCACUGCCCGGUAGCUAAAUGCGGAAGAGAUAAGUGCUGAAAGCAUCUAAGCACGAAACUUGCCCCGAGAUGAGUUCUCCCUGAGACUUUAAGUCUCCUGAAGGAACGUUAAAGACGAUGACGUUGAUAGGCCGGGUGUGUAAGCGCAGCGAUGCGUUGAGCUAACCGGUACUAAUGAACCGUGAGGCUUAACCUU
rnacentral:rRNA from 1 species